UACGUAGGGAGCGAGCGUUAUCCGGAUUUAUUGGGCGUAAAGGGCUUGUAGGUGGCGUGUCGCGUCUGCCGUGAAAUUCCGCAGCUUAACUGUGGUAGUGCGGUGGGUACGGGCAUGCUUGAGUGUGGUAGGGGAGAUUGGAAUUCCUGGUGUAGCGGUGGAAUGCGCAGAUAUCAGGAGGAACACCGGUGGCGAAGGCGGAUCUCUGGGCCAUUACUGACGCUGAGGAGCGAAAGCGUGGGGAGCGAACAGG
rnacentral:rRNA from 1 species